CCAAGCAGGGAGUGGAAAUCCUUUUGCUCUGAGGCAGUAAAUGAAAUGCUGGUGCUGGUUUUGGGUGUCAGACACACUCUGCCUGGC